CUAAGUGAUGACUAAAACAAAAACAAAGCUGGAAUUACUGGCUGAAUUUUAAAUGUUGAUACGUUUUUGCAUUUUAUCUGAUU
rnacentral:snoRNA from 1 species